GUUCACUGCCUGGAGUGGCGUGAACUCGAAACGUUCAGGCGCUAUAGGAUGUGGCUGCGGCCGAUUAGGUAGACGGUGGGGUAACGGCCCACCGUGCCCAUAAUCGGUACGGGUUGUGAGAGCAAGAGCCCGGAGACGGUAUCUGAGACAAGAUACCGGGCCCUACGGGGCGCAGCAGGCGCGAAACCUUUACACUGCACGCGAGUGCGAUAAGGGGACUCCAAGUGCGAGGGCAUAUAGUCCUCGCUUUUCACCACCGUAAGGAGGUGGUAGAAUAAGUGCUGGGCAAGACCGGUGCCAUCCGCCGCGGUAAUACCGGCAGCACGAGUGAUGACCGCUAUUAUUGGGCCUAAAGCGUCCGUAGCUGGCCAUACAAGUCUAUCGGGAAAUCUGCGCGCUUAACGCGCAGGCGUCCGGUGGAAACUGUGUGGCUUGGGACCGGAAGACCAGAGGGGUACGUCCGGGGUAGGAGUGAAAUCCCGUAAUCCUGGACGGACCACCGGUGGCGAAAGCGCCUCUGGAAGACGGAUCCGACGGUGAGGGACGAAAGCUCGGGUCACGAACCGGAUUAGAUACCCGGGUAGUCCGAGCUGUAAACGAUGUCUGCUAGGUGUGGCACAGGCUACGAGCCUGUGCUGUGCCGUAGGGAAGCCGAGAAGCAGACCGCCUGGGAAGUACGUCCGCAAGGAUGAAACUUAAAGGAAUUGGCGGGGGAGCACUACAACCGGAGGAGCCUGCGGUUUAAUUGGACUCAACGCCGGACAUCUCACCAGCAUCGACAAUGUGCAGUGAAGGUCAGAUUGAUGAUCUUACUGGAGCCAUUGAGAGGAGGUGCAUGGCCGCCGUCAGCUCGUACCGUGAGGCGUCCUGUUAAGUCAGGCAACGAGCGAGACCCACACUCUUAAUUGCCAGCAACACCCUUGCGGUGGUUGGGUACAUUAGGAGGACUGCCAGUGCCAAACUGGAGGAAGGAAUGGGCAACGGUAGGUCAGUAUGCCCCGAAUGUGCUGGGCGACACGCGGGCUACAAUGGCCGAGACAGUGGGACGCAACCCCGAAAGGGGACGCUAAUCUCCGAAACUCGGUCGUAGUUCGGAUUGAGGGCUGAAACUCGCCCUCAUGAAGCUGGAUUCGGUAGUAAUCCCUUCAGAAGAGCGCGGUGAAUACGUCCCU
rnacentral:rRNA from 1 species